rnacentral:rRNA from 1 species
CCUACGGGGGGCAGCAGUGGGGAAUAUUGCACAAUGGGGGAAACCCUGAUGCAGCGACGCCGCGUGAAGGACGAAGUAUUUCGGUACGUAAACUUCUAUCAGCAGGGAAGAAAAUGACGGUACCUGACCAAGAAGCCCCGGCUAACUACGUGCCAGCAGCCGCGGUAAUACGUAGGGGGCAAGCGUUAUCCGGAUUUACUGGGUGUAAAGGGAGCGUAGACGGCAGCGCAAGUCUGGAGUGAAAUGCCGGGGCCCAACCCCGGAACUGCUUUGGAAACUGUGCAGCUCGAGUGCAGGAGAGGUAA